rnacentral:rRNA from 1 species
UACGUAGGUGGCAAGCGUUAUCCGGAUUUAUUGGGCGUAAAGAGAACGCAGGCGGUCUUUUAAGUCUGAUGUGAAAGCCUUCGGCUUAACCGGAGUAGUGCAUUGGAAACUGGGAGACUUGAGUGCAGAAGAGGAGAGUGGAACUCCAUGUGUAGCGGUGAAAUGCGUAGAUACAUGGAAGAACACCAGUGGCGAAAGCGGCUCUCUGGUCUGUAACUGACGCUGAGGUUCGAAAGCGUGGGUAGCAAACAGG